CGAACGAAUGUAUCAUUUGAUCCACCUGCCGGAGUACGUCGGCCACGGUGAAACUCAUCAGAGUAGACGGCCGCGCCACCGACUGGUGGAAUACGGGGGGUACAAGCGUGGUUCGCAUUUAUUGGGCGUAAAGCGCGUGUAAGCGGUUUUAUAAGUCUGAUGUGAAAGCCCUGGGCUCAACCCGGGAAGUGCAUUGGAUACUGUAAGACUUGAAUACGGGAGAGGGCAGUGGAAUUCCUAGUGUAGGAGUGAAAUCCGUAGAUAUUAGGAGGAACACCGGUGGCGAAGGCGGCUGCCUGGACCGAUAUUGACGCUGAGACGCGAAAGCGUGGGUAGCAAACAGGAUUAGAUACCCUGGUAGUCCACGCUGUAAACGAUGAGAACUAGGUGUUGCGGGUAUUGACCCCUGCAGUGCCGUAGCUAACGCAUUAAGUUCUCCGCCUGGGAAGUACGUCCGCAAGACUAAAACUCAAA
rnacentral:rRNA from 1 species